rnacentral:ncRNA from 1 species
AUAUGGUGAACUACUCCUAUGCAGGGCAAAGCCAGAGGAAACUCUGGUGGAGGGUCAUAGUGGUCCUGCAGUGUAAAUUGAUCAUAUGAUUUGGGUAUAGGAACAAAAGACUAAUCGAAGACUAAUCGAACCAUCUAGUAG